GGACUACUGGGGUUUCUAAUCCUGUUUGCUCCCCACGCUUUCGCGUCUCAGCGUCAGUUGCGUUCCAGAGAGCCGCCUUCGCCACGGGUGUUCUUCCUGAUAUCUGCGCAUUUCACCGCUACACCAGGAAUUCCACUCUCCUCUCCCGCACUCUAGCCCGCCAGUUUCUCACGACCGCUCGGGGUUGAGCCCCGAGAUUUCACGCAAGACUUAGCGAGCCGCCUACACGCUCUUUACGCCCAAUGAUUCCGGACAACGCUCGGUCCCUACGUAUUACCGCGGCUGCUGGCAC
rnacentral:rRNA from 1 species